AUUGAACGCUGGCGGCAGGCUUAACACAUGCAAGUCGAGCGAGUGGCGGACGGGUGAGUAAUGUCUGGGAAACUGCCUGAUGGAGGGGGAUAACUACUGGAAACGGUAGCUAAUACCGCAUACCAUCAGAUGUGCCCAGAUGGGAUUAGCUAGUAGGUGGGGUAAUGGCUCACCUAGGCGACGAUCCCUAGCUGGUCUGAGAGGAUGACCAGCAACACUGGAACUGAGACACGGUCCAGACUCCUACGUGAGGCAGCAGUGGGGAAUAUUGCACAAUGGGCGCAAGCCUGAUGCAGCCAUGCCGCGUGUAUGAAGAAGGCCUUCGGGUUGUAAAGCACUUUCAGCGGGGAGGCGUUACUCGCAGAAGAAGCACCGGCUAACUCCGUGCCAGCAGCCGCGGUAAUUC
rnacentral:rRNA from 1 species